rnacentral:rRNA from 1 species
UACGUAGGGUGCAAGCGUUGCCCGGAUUUAUUGGGCGUAAAGCGCGCGUAGGCGGCUCUGCACGUUCGUUGUGAAAUCGCCCGGCUCAACUGGGCGGGGUCAGCGGAUACGGCAGAGCUUGAGCAAGCUAGGGGGCAAUGGAAUUCCCGGUGUAGAGGUGAAAUUCGUAGAUAUCGGGAGGAACACCAGUGGCGAAGGCGGCCUGCUGGACCGGCACUGACGCUGAGACGCGAAAGCGUGGGUAGCAAACAGG